CCUGUAGCGCCACCUGGAGGGAGACGGGAGGAGGCGCCGAGGGGCUUCGCUUGUGUGGCCGCCGCGGGAAGCGGCGCGGACUCCGGCGCCAUCACGGCUCCGUUUUCUGUGUCGGCUUUAACAGUCGAGUGGUCACACUGCCUGUUUCCCUGGAAUUUAGGCAUGGUGGGACGCAUCGCCGUCUAGAGGGUAUGGCGGCGAGAAGCCCCAGUUCGGGGGGGGGGGGCCCACCUGGCCCUCACAGCCACAGACAAUCCGAAUUCAAAAGCCAGGCGCUGUGGUUCGCUGUGUAGCCGAUUCCACUCCCGUCUCCUUUGUGGGGCGUUACUGUAAGGUGGCGACAGGGCCUGGCUAGCGGGAAAGCCCUGAAAUCUGAUGGCUGGGCCCAAAUGCAACUCGCUUACGGCGUGUUUGACCAAGGGCUCGGCCACCUUCCUUGAGAUUCCCAACCCAAAGAAGGGACCUCCUUCACCAUAUACACCUGUCAGGUAACGAUUCCUUCCAUUUUGCUUCACUCUUCCCUUGAAAUUUCUCCUCCCUUGUUUCCAGUCUUCUUGAUCCAGCCAAUUCCCUAUUUCACUUAUUUAUUCAAUAAACAAGAGGCUAUUUGAAUAUUUUUUCUUCUCUUUCUUCAGAAUCUGACUGGCUCUGCUUACCCUUACUCUUAACUCUGCAGGCUGUUGUCUUACUCCUGAGGACAAAGCAGACAUGGAGUCAAAGACCCAAAAAACCCAGGGACAGGCAAUGCCAAGUUUGAAUCCACUGCUGCUUGCUCAUCACCAUAGAUUCAGCCUCUGUAACACCUUAGCGGUUAAAAACAACCUAAUACUUCCCUCUUAGGCCCCCAGGAAAUCUUGUGACUGACUCCUUAAUUUUUGCUGAUUCUUUGCUCAUUUUAUUGUACAAUGUUAAGAAAAUGGUCAAGAUCAAGAAUUUUCUUUAUGCUCAUGCCCUUAACAUCAUUUUGCAAAUUCAAUUAAGUUGAAGCAGUUUGGAGAAUAAGUUACUAAUGCCAUCAGAUGUGUGGGUUGUGGGAACUUGCAAAGAUUUAGCAAGCAGCUUCCUAAAACCAGAUUUGAGAAAUAAAGAGCUCUUGAAAGUCACUAAAUCAAACUCAACUGCACAUAGGAAUAUACUUUCUGACACUACGGUGGGGAUAUAAAGCAGCGAUCUUCCAGUGCAGCAUAGCAUGUUGUAUCAAAAUGGGUAUGUGAGUUAAGAGGUACAUAAUACUCAGUAAAUGUUAAUGGUUUUAAAUAUUAGACAGCAACUGGAGACCACCCAUUUCCUGUUGCUAAACUGACAAAAAGCAGUCCAUUUUAAAGAAUUGCCGAAAUAUUCCGGCAAAAUGAGGCCACAAUUUUAGAAAAGUAACACUGUACUUUGAUCAACAUAGAUUAAGCUUUAUUUCUGAAACAGUAUUAGUUAUCAAUCUAACUCUGUGGUGGUUUCAGAGAUUGGAGAGGUGAAAAUAAACUCUGUUUUGGUCAUCUGAGAGGACCUAUUAGAAUUUGAAGUUAAGGUCAGAACUUUAGGGAUCAUUUAUCUUGAGACAAAAACAUGAGUCAUAAACUAUCUUGAAACUUCGGCUGUGGCCAAACUGCAACAUUUGGACUCUUUUUUCUUUUUCUAAAGAUUAUUUGUCAGAGAGUACAAGCAGAGGGAGGAGGCGGCUCCCUGCUGAGCAAGGGGCCGGAUGCGGGACUUGAUCCCAGGGUUCUGGGAUCAUUACCUGAGCUGAAGGCAGAUGCUUAACUGACUGAUCCAUCCAGGGGUCCCCAUUUGGGCCCUCUUCUGUUAAAAUUGAAAACCAUAAUCACUUAAAACCCAAUACACAAUCUGUUUCUGAUUUUUUAAAAAAGAUUAUUUGAGAGAGAGGGCGUGUACACACAAGUGUGCACGAAGGGGGUUAGGGGCAAAGGGAGAAAAUAUCAAGCAGACUCCCUGCUAAUGGGGGAGCCAGCCACCCAGAAGCCACCAAUCUGUUUGCUUUUUGUGAAAAGUUGAACUUCAGACUACUAUUAGAAAAAAAAAAAUCUGUUGUUGGUAGCUAACAAAUUUAUGUGUAUUCCCUUAAAAACUGGCAUACCACUUAACACUUGGGACUUCUCUGUAUGACUUCAUGCUUGGAAGUUCUUAAAUGAAUCCAUCUAAGAUCACUUCUAAAUCCUCUCUCCUUUAAAGAAAUUAAAUGGCAUUGGGGUCCCCAGUGUCUUAGUCGUCAAACGUCCGACUCUUGAUUUCCGUUCAGGUCUUGAUCUCAGGGUCGUGAGAUCAAGCCCUGCAUCGGGCUCCGUGCUCAAUGGGAAUAUGCUUGGGAUUCUCCCUCCCCCUCUGCCCAUCUCCCCACUGGUGUGCACAUGCCCUCUAAAAUAAAAAAAUGAAUCUUUUAAAAAAAUUAAUGGCAUUACCUGAGUUACAAUGAUAAAAUCUUCCCCAUUUAAUAAUAUUCCUUCUUUCCUAAAGUAUAUGCGGCUAAAACAGCAUACUUGUGGGUAAGUUUGGCAAUACGUCCUUGUGAGAAGUUUCUAAAGCCACAUAGUAUCUGUGAAAUUGGAGCAUUUACACAAGAGGCCAACAGCAUUCUGACUGGACCCCCCCACUGAGGCAGCUCCUAGGCUGAAGUGAUGUAUGACCACUUAACUCAUGAAGUCCAGACUUUCCUACACCAGUUUUAUUUAAAACACAAAUAAGUAUUUCUCUUUCUUGUAAUGGCAAAUGGUUCAAAUAAUGCUGAACAUGAAUCAUUGACUAAUACAAGGACUUUAAAUAUGAAACAAAAUUAUUUUUAAAAAAGCAAAAGAAUAAAGGUUAUAUACAAAAGGGACCUGGAAUCUUUAAGCUGAUUCCAAAAACAAAAUGAGUAGAAAAUCUGUGAAACCAGAACAUUCCACCCUUGCUUUGGAGAAGGGCUAUUAUACAACAUUCAGUCAGCUGAAGAUGGAUUGGUAGAGAGGUGUCUAUACAUAAAUUUCAAGUCAUUUUUGCUUGUGCAGAAUCAUCCAGAUCUUCCCAAGACUGAAUGGGCAGUCCUGUGGCUUUCUUCCUUUUCCAUAUUCCCAACAAGGCUACAUGAGGUUCAACUCUUGAUGAGCCGCUUACAACAGCAGUUCCUUAGGAGCCAACACGACAGGUGGAUCAGAUUUCCCUGUGAGAAACCAAACUGGCCACCUACGGCAAAGUAUCAAGACGGACAGGUCCUUCUUUCCUCUUCCUUCCGAUUAUGUACAGUAUGUCUCCUUUCAAGACUCUUAUCCCCAUCGUACUUGUUCCUUCACAAGUCUAAACCUUGAGGUGAUAUGAAGGAGACCGACAUCAAGAAAAGAAAAUUCAAUUCAGAAACGAAGAAAACUGGAAGGUAUACAAUACACCCCCAGAGCAUCUCAAUCAUCCCCGCUACAGUACAGUUCGGUGUACUGCUACAGUCCAGAGAUAAAUAUUGGCAGCUUGGAGGAGUUCAUCUGUUCCCCUCUGGUGGUUAAAGGGCACCAAAUAAAUAACUGGGCAAGAGGAGUUUGCUGGGAGAGUUAGAAAUAAAAAACUAACCAAUUUUAAUCCCUGUGAGAAUUCAAUGCCAGUAGGAGGCAAGUAUUGAAGAAGAGAAAGGACAACUUUCAUGCUAAAAAAAGAAUUCCUCUAAUCAUUAUGUCACCAUCUCUUAUUAAGAAUCCAGGGAAUCCCAGAAAUAGAAAAUUAGUUUCAGAGGACCCCUGAGGCACUUUAAAGCCUUAAAAAAUUACAGUAAUAAUAAAUUAGCUAUUGCUCUUCAGAGGCUGACAGAGCAGCAGAAGCAUGGAAAUCAGGUUCAAAAAGUUAUGUCCAGAUUACAAGCUUCCGGAGCUGCUCAGCCUUCUCUAAAGCUUAGUUGAAUCUCCAAAUACCUUUAAAAAAACAUACAAUUUAACACAGACAGAGUGGAUCUUUUGUUUAGUGGUAGUGUGAAAUUUGGUCCUCACUGGCAGCAGCUGGUCUUCAUCCUUUUCAAACUCAGAUUACAUUAAUAAGUACAUUAAGACAAUACAUAAAAGAAAUACUAGAGCAAAGAGGAAAAAAGCCCAAACUGACAAACACCUCAAGGAGUCACUAAGUUCUCUUGCACCCUUUGACUUGGCUCUCCCUCUCAGUUUUUCUGUGGAGAGGUGUAAGACAGUAUUUUUCUCAUAGAUGCUAAACCAUGGCAUCGAAUGGACAAAAUGGUUAUCAAGGGACUUCAAAAAUCUGACCCCAAGGAAUCCAGGACACAUACAGGUAAUUCAGAGGUAUACUUCUGAUUGGGGGCAAAUUCUAGACUAAAGAAAUGAUCUUGGGUAAAUGUUAUAAUAGAUGAAACUAAGUCCAGUUUUUGUUUUUUUUUUUUUUUAAAUGUUCUACUGCCUUCAGCUAUCAA